GACGAACGCUGGCGGCGUGCUUAACACAUGCAAGUCGAACGGAAAGGCCCUGCUUUUGUGGGGUGCUCGAGUGGCGCACGGGUGAGUAACACGUGAGUAUCCUGCCCUUGUCUUUGGGAUAACUUCAGGAAACUGGGGCUAAUACCGGAUAGGAGCUCCUGCUGCAUGGUGGGCGUUGGAAAGUUUCGGCGGUGGGGGAUGGACUCGCGGCUUAUCAGCUUGUUGGUGGGGUAGUGGCUUACCAAGGCUUUGACGGGUAGCCGGCAUGAGAGGGUGACCGGCGACAUUGGGACUAAGAUACGGCCCAGACUGCUACGGGAGGCAGUGGUCGGGAGUAUUGCGGAAUGGGCGGAAGCGUGAUGCGGAGACGUCGCGUGCGGGAUGCUGGGUUACGGGUUGUAAACCGCUGUGGCCGGAGACGAAGCGUGAGUGACGGUACUGAGUAAAGAAGCAACGGCUAACUACGUG
rnacentral:rRNA from 1 species